GAGAUCAGCGGCGGACGGGUGAGUAACACGUGGGUAACCUGCCUGUAAGACUGGAAUAACUCCGGGAAACCGGGGCUAAUACCGGAUAAUUGAUACCCCCGCAUGGUUCAAGGCUGAAAGGUGGCUUCUGCUAUCACUUUCAGAUGGGCCCGCGGGGCAUUAACUAGUUGGGGAGGUAAUGGCUCACCCAGGGGACGAUGCGUAGCCCACCUGAGAGGGUGAUCGGGCCCACUGGGACUGAGACACGGGCCAGACUCCUACGGGAGGGGGCAGUAGGGAAUCUUUCGCAAUGGACGAAAGUCUGACGGAACAACGCCGCGUGAGUGAAGAAAGUUUUCGGAUCGCAAAACUCUGUUGUUAGGGAAGAACAAGUGCCGUUCGAAUAGGGCGGCGCCCUGACGGGACCUAAACAGAAAGCCACGGGUAAAUAUGUGCCAGCAGCCGCGGUAAUACGUAAGUGGCAAGCGCUGUCCCGAAUUAUUGGGCGUAAAGCGCGCGCACGCGGGUCUUAAGUCUCAUGUGAAAGCCCCCGGGUCUACCCCGGAGAGGCAUAUUGAACUGGGGAACUUUAGUGCGCAAAAGGAGAGUGGAAUUCUCCAGUGUAGCGCUGAAAUGUGUAGAGAUAUGGAGGAACACCACUGUCGCAGAGCGACUCUUCUGGGCUCUGAACUGACACUGAGACGCGCAAAACGUUGGGAGCAGAACACGGAUUAGAUAUCCUGGGAGUCCACAGCGCUGAAACGAUGGAGCGCAAGGUAAGGCUUCCGGCCUUAAAGGUGUCGACUAAGCGAUAAAGACUCCGCCUGGGGAGAUCAGGCGCAGACUUGACUCAAGAAUGACCGGGCCGCCAACGGGGACAUUGGUAAUUCGAGCAACCGAAACUACGCUGGACUCUGAACUGGAA
rnacentral:rRNA from 1 species